AUUGAACGCUAGCGGGAGGCUUUACACAUGCAAGUCGAGCGAGUGGCGGACGGGUGAGUAAUAUAUCGGAACGUGCCCAGUAGCUGAGGAUAACUACUCGAAAGAGAUGCUAAUACCGCCUACUUUUGGAGCGGCCGGUAUCGCAUUAGCUAGUUGGUGGGGCAAAGGCUCACCAAGGCAACGAGCCGUAGCUGGUUUGAGAGGACGACCAGACACACUGGGACUGAGACACGGUCCAGACUCCUACGGGAGGCAGCAGUGGGGAAUUUUGGACAAUGGGCGAAAGCCUGAUCCAGCCAUGCCGCGUGUAUGAGAAGGCCUUCGGGUUGUAAAGUACUUUUGGCAGAGAAGCGGUAUCUGCAGAAUAAGCACCGGCUAACUACGUGCCAGCAGCUGCGGUAAUAC
rnacentral:rRNA from 1 species